ACAGCAGUAGCCGCGGUAAUACGUAGGUGGCGAGCGUUGUCCGGAAUUAUUGGGCGUAAAGGGAGCGCAGGCGGACAUAUAAGUCCAUCUUAAAAGUGCGGGGCUCAACCCCGUGAGGGGAUGGAAACUGUAUGCCUUGAGUGCAGGAGAGGAAAGCGGAAUUCCCAGUGUAGCGGUGAAAUGCGUAGAUAUUGGGAGGAACACCAGUGGCGAAGGCGGCUUUCUGGACUGCAACUGACGCUGAGGCUCGAAAGCCAGGGGAGCGAACGGGAUUAGAUACCCCAGUAGUCCCUGUCUCUUAUACA
rnacentral:rRNA from 1 species